UAGUAGUAGGGACUUCGGUCCCUCCGUAAUGGAACCCUUGCCUUUUUUUAGCGUCUCUCCGUUUCCUCGGCAGCUCCGCCUGCCAGCGAGGACCCCCAAAAAACCUUUGCAAUCCAGUAAAAUAUUCAGAAUUACACAAACGUUA
rnacentral:misc_RNA from 1 species